UGAACGAGGAAUUGCCAGUAAGCGCAAGUCAUCAGCUUGCGUUGAUUACGUCCCUGCCCUUUGUACACACCGCCGUCGCUACUACCGAUUGAAUGGUUUAGCAAGGUCCUCGGAUUGGUGCCGACUUGGUGGCAACACUAGGUCGGAUACUGAAAAGAAGAUCAAACUUGAUCAUUUAGAGGAAGUAAAAGUCGUAACAAGGUUUCCGUAGGUGAACCUGCGGAAGGAUCAUUA
rnacentral:ncRNA from 1 species